AUGCACAGGUUCUUAGCAGAGAGUCAUGUUUUAGUUCUAGGAUUAUGCUUAUUUCUUUCUUUAGGGUUGCUUUUGUAAUGAAUCAGCACUUACAUACACCUCUACUAGGCAAUCAUGGAGUUGGCACCCCAAAGAAAGCUUCACCACAUGGACUGAAUUCUAUUAGCUGAGCAGAGACAGAGCAAUGUCAGCUCUCAGAGAGAGAGAGAGAGAGAGAGGCAGAGACACAGGCAGAGGGAGAAGCAGGCUCCA